UACAGAGGGUGCGAGCGUUGUUCGGAAUUAUUGGGCGUAAAGGGCGCGUAGGCGGCGCCACAAGUCACUUGUGAAAACUCUGGGCUCAACUCAGAGCCUGCAAGCGAAACUGUGGUGCUGGAGUAUGGGAGAGGUGCGUGGAAUUCCCGGUGUAGCGGUGAAAUGCUUAGAUAUCGUCAAGAACACCUAUUGCGAAGGCAGCUAACUAAGCUUAAACUGACGCUGAGGCACGAAAGUGUGGGGAUCAAACAGG
rnacentral:rRNA from 1 species